rnacentral:rRNA from 1 species
UACGUAGGUGGCGAGCGUUGUCCGGAUUUACUGGGCGUAAAGAGCGCGCAGGCGGUCGUUCAAGUCGCGUGUGAAAGCCCCCGGCUCAACUGGGGAGGGUCACGCGAUACUGAUCGACUCGAAGGCAGGAGAGGGAAGUGGAAUUCCCGGUGUAGUGGUGAAAUUCGUAGAUAUUCGGAGGAACACCAGUGGCGAAGGCGGCUCACUGGCUCGACACUGACGCUGAGGUGCGAAAGCGUGGAGAGCAAACAGG